rnacentral:rRNA from 1 species
CCUACGGGAGGCAGCAGUGAGGAAUAUUGGUCAAUGGCCGGAAGGCUGAACCAGCCAUGCCGCGUGAAGGUCAGUGCCCUAUGGGCGUUAAACUUCUUUUGUGCGGGAGCAAUAAUGGUCACGUGUGGCCAGACGAGAGUACCGUACGAAUAAGCAUCGGCUAACUCCGUGCCAGCAGCCGCGGUAAUACGGGGGAUGCAAGCGUUAUCCGGAUUUAUUGGGUUUAAAGGGUGCGUAGGCUGUGGGGUAAGUCAGCGGGGAAAUGCCCCCGCUCAACGGGGUGAAGUGCCAUUGAUACUGCCUUGCUGGAAUGCGGAUGCCGUGGGAGGAAUGUGUGGGGUAGCGGUGAAAUGCAUAGAUAUCACACAGAACACCGAGUGCGAAGGCAUCUCACGAAUCCGCGAUUGACGCUGAUGCACGAAAGCGUGGGUAUCAAACAGGAUUAGAUACCCGAGUAGUC